rnacentral:rRNA from 1 species
GACGAACCGAGCGAACGUUAUUCGGAAUCACUGGGCUUAAAGGGUGCGUAGGCGGGCACGCGAGUCAGGGGUGAAAUCCCACGGCCCGACCGUGGAAGUGCCUCUGAUACCGCGAGCCUCGAGGAGGAUAGGGGCGUGCGGAACUUCCGGUGGAGCGGUGAAAUGCGUAGAUAUCGGAAGGAACACCGGUGGCGAAAGCGGCGCGCUGGAUCACUACUGACGCUGAGGCACGAAAGCCAGGGGAGCAAACAGG